GAUGAACGCUGGCGGCGUGCUUAACACAUGCAAGUCGAACGAGGUCCAACCUUCGGGUGAAGACCGAGUGGCGAACGGGUGAGUAACACGUGGGGAACCUGCCCUUCUCUCUGGGAUAACCUCGGGAAACCGAAGCUAAUACCGGAUACUCCUUGCGGACCGCAUGGUCUGCUCGGGAAAGCUCCGGCGGAGAAGGAUGGCCCCGCGGCCCAUUAGCUUGUUGGUGGGGUAACGGCCCACCAAGGCGACGAUGGGUAGCCGAGCUGAGAGGCUGAUCGGCCACACUGGGACUGAGACACGGCCCAGACUCCUACGGGAGGCAGCAGUGGGGAAUCUUGCGCAAUGGGCGAAAGCCUGACGCAGCAACGCCGCGUGCGGGAUGAAGGCUCUCGGGUCGUAAACCGCUUUCAGCAGGGAUGAAAAUGACAGUACCUGCAGAAGAAGCCCCGGCUAAAUACGUGCCAGCAGCCGCGGUAAUACGUAUGGGGCAAGCGUUAUCCGGAUUCAUUGGGCGUAAAGCGCGCGUAGGCGGCUUGUUAAGUCAGGCGUGAAAUCCGGGGGCUCAACCCGCGGCUUGCGUCUGAAACUGGCAGGCUUGAGUCUGGUAGAGGAAAGUGGAAUUCCUGGUGUAGCGGUGAAAUGCGCAGAUAUCAGGAGGAACACCAGUGGCGAAGGCGGCUUUCUGGGCCACGACUGACGCUGAGGCGCGAAAGCUAGGGGAGCGAACA
rnacentral:rRNA from 1 species